CAAUACGAUAUUUUUUUAAAAAACAACAACUGUUGCAUUUUCAAUCGGAAUGGGCUGGAGGGCUAUCGAUAUAUCGAUAGAGGUAGGGUCGGUAGGAACAGGGGGAGGCAGGGAUUGGUGAGCGAACCGGGAAUAUCAAAAGUAAGAGAAAGGGUUUUUACCCUUUGCACUAGGCCGUUGCACUGAGCGCCCCAAGAUUACGGUAAGCCGAAAAUGGGGACUCGGACAACGGAGCCUAUAUAGGGAGACAGGAGACUGGAAGAGGGAAAGAUUAGCGGGACGUCAGCCGGCGCGUUAGCAUCUUAGAGAAAAAGUGAAAUCAAAAAUUUAAAAAAGAAAAAAAACCGUGGCCGUGACGAAAAACACGGGCCACGGGGUUUUUUUCUGUGUUGUUCUCUUGAUGUUGGUGCAUUCGCCGUCUCCGAGCCGUUCGGUGGAUUUUUAUCUGGGCGAGCCCCGCAUUUCCCGAGACACCUGUGAGACAUCCGGUCCCAGCACUCUUGUGCACAGCAGCGGCCGCCGGCACGAGCCACCAUCAGGCCAAACCGGGAGCAACCAACAAACCGACGGAAACUGGAGGACAGCGGUGAGUCCGUUCCGAUCAAAAUCGGCCGGCCCUAACCUAGGUGGUCGGCUAAUGUUCAUGCCGCUUGUAGGGCCUACAUUUUUUGCUGCUAGUCCUGGCCGAAUUCCGCUAGUCGCCAAUCCUGGGCUUCGUCUGCCCCAUUCUGGCCAUCGUCCUCAGUCGCCGGAAAAAUAUAUGAAAAAUAAAAUAAUAAUAUAUAAGUUAUUCGUUCUAA